GACGAACGCUGGCGGCGUGCUUAACACAUGCCAGUCGAACGGAAAGGCCCUGCUUGCAGGGUGCUCGAGUGGCGAACGGGUGAGUAACACGGGGGUGAUCUGCCCCUUAUUUUGGGAUAAGCCUGGGAAACUGGGUCUAAUACUGGAUAGGACCAUGCUGUAGGGGGUGUGGUGGAAAGAUUAGUUUCGGUAAGGGAUGAGCUCGCGGCCUAUCAGCUUGUUGGUGGGGUAAUGGCCUACCAAGGCGUCGACGGGUAGCCGGCCUGAGAGGGUGGACGGCCACAUUGGGACUGAGAUACGGCCCAGACUCCUACGGGAGGCAGCAGUGGGGAAUAUUGCACAAUGGGCGCAAGCCUGAUGCAGCGACGCCGCGUGGGGGAUGACGGCCUUCGGGUUGUAAACUCCUUUCAGCCAUGACGAAGCCCUUGUGGUGACGGUAGUGGUAGAAGAAGCACCGGCUAACUACGUG
rnacentral:rRNA from 1 species